rnacentral:rRNA from 1 species
GGGUUGUGAGGUUAAGCGACUAAGCGUACACGGUGGAUGCCCUGGCAGUCAGAGGCGAUGAAGGACGUGCUAAUCUGCGAUAAGCGUCGGUAAGGUGAUAUGAACCGUUAUAACCGGCGAUUUCCGAAUGGGGAAACCCAGUGUGAUUCGUCACACUAUCAUUAACUGAAUCCAUAGGUUAAUGAGGCGAACCGGGGGAACUGAAACAUCUAAGUACCCCGAGGAAAAGAAAUCAACCGAGAUUCCCCCAGUAGCGGCGAGCGAACGGGGAGGAGCCCAGAGCCUGAAUCAGUGUGUGUGUUAGUGGAAGCGUCUGGAAAGGCGCGCGAUACAGGGUGACAGCC